rnacentral:rRNA from 1 species
GGCUUAACACAUGCAAGUCGAGGGGCAGCAUGUUGGUUGCUUGCAACCAACGAUGGCGACCGGCGCACGGGUGAGUAACGCGUAUCCAACCUGCCCUUGUCCAUCGGAUAACCCGUCGAAAGGCGGCCUAACACGAUAUGCAGUUCUCAGCAGGCAUCUAACGAGAACGAAAUGUGAAGGAGAAGGAUGGGGAUGCGUCUGAUUAGCUUGUUGGCGGGGUAACGGCCCACCAAGGCGACGAUCAGUAGGGGUUCUGAGAGGAAGGUCCCCCACAUUGGAACUGAGACACGGUCCAAACUCCUACGGGAGGCAGCAGUGAGGAAUAUUGGUCAAUGGACGGAAGUCUGAACCAGCCAAGUAGCGUGCAGGAAGACGGCCCUAUGGGUUGUAAACUGCUUUUAUACGGGGAUAAAGUGAGCCACGUGUGGCUUAUUGCAGGUACCGUAUGAAUAAGGACCGGCUAAUUCCGUGCCAGCAGCCGCGGUAAUACGGAAGGUCCGGGCGUUAUCCGGAUUUAUUGGGUUUAAAGGGAGCGUAGGCCGUUUGUUAAGCGUGUUGUGAAAUGUCGGGGCUCAACCUGGGCAUUGCAGCGCGAACUGGCAGACUUGAGUGCGCGGGAAGUAGGCGGAAUUCGUCGUGUAGCGGUGAAAUGCUUAGAUAUGACGAAGAACUCCGAUUGCGAAGGCAGCCUGCUGUAGCGUAACUGACGCUGAAGCUCGAAAGCGUGGGUAUCGAACAGGAUUAGAUACCCUGGUAGUCCACGCGGUAAACGAUGGAUGCUCGCUGUUUGCGUCUGACGUAAGCGGCCAAGCG